AAAAAGGCGUCACUCCUAAAUACUCCGCGGGAACUGGGUGUCCUCGGGGUCGACCUGGGAAGGAACGGGACCGAGUUUCAGGCGACGACAGAGCGGGAGUCCCGCCAGAGAAGCGCGGGAGAGAUCUCUGAUGAAACUCUCGAUUGAAUCCUGCCGUGAUGGAGAUGCAGAGAAAUUUUAGGUUGACCUUCAUCUGAGUCAUUGCCGUGGAUCCUGGCGAUUGAUUCCAGCCCAGAAAACCCAACUUCGC
rnacentral:lncRNA from 1 species